rnacentral:rRNA from 1 species
CUACGGGAGGCUCCGGUGGGGAAUCUUAGACAAUGGGCGCAAGCCUGAUCUAGCCAUGCCGCGUGAGUGAUGAAGGCCUUAGGGUCGUAAAGCUCUUUCGCUGGGGAAGAUAAUGACGGUACCCAGUAAAGAAACCCCGGCUAACUCCGUGCCAGCAGCCGCGGUAAUACGGAGGGGGUUAGCGUUGUUCGGAAUUACUGGGCGUAAAGCGCGCGUAGGCGGACUGUUAAGUCGGGGGUGAAAUCCCGGGGCUCAACCCCGGAACGGCCUUCGAUACUGGCAGUCUGGAGUUCGAGAGAGGUGAGUGGAAUUCCGAGUGUAGAGGUGAAAUUCGUAGAUAUUCGGAGGAACACCAGUGGCGAAGGCGGCUCACUGGCUCGAUACUGACGCUGAGGUGCGAAAGUGUGGGGAGCAAACAGGAUUAGAUACCCGUGUAGUC